AGGUUUCCAGACAUUUAUUUCUGGAACUGUACACCAGGUAUUAAAGUACAACAAAUACAAAAUAAGGCUCAAAAAAAUCAGUGUUUAUGUACAAAUAUUAAAACCAAUGCAACAAUAGCGACUUCCUCUUGAACAUCUGAUACUAAAACAUGUUCCGAUUGUCACUAGAUUUGUUGUUAUGCACAGGGUAUGUACUUUGAACUGAGAAUAACUAGAAUCUCUGUUUUAUUAGGAGGACUAUAACCAUUCCUACUGUAUUUUACAAAUGAUAGUAUUUUCCUCCUCCUUUCAAUGAAAAAUAGAAAUAAAAAAAAUAGUAACCUUGUCAUUACUUUAUAAAUUACUGUAUUUAGUUUCCCUGUCUGUAGACAAUGUGCUUGUAAUGCUGGGCAAAUAGUGUCCCUGUUGGUCAGUUUAUCCAUUAGUUUACAUUCAAAGUUGAAAUAUUCCCUAUAGACUUUGGUUAAAUUAAGUAGUAUCGCUAUGUUCUACUUGAUCUGAAGUUUUCCUAUGUUUUUGACCCUCAGUUUUAAAAAUUAAAAACAGGAAACAAUUGCACAGUUCAUUGACCUAAUUGUACACAAUUUAGUAUUCUUCUAACAGUAUUGUACAUCCUUCAAGUAAAUUCAGCGGCAUGACAAGAGGAAAACUAAACAUUUAAAAACCUAUCAUGAGAAGACGUAUGACUUAUCAAAGUAAAAGUAUUGCUAUAAUCACAGCACCAGUUACACUUCUAAAUGAAUCAGCUACCCUCUUCAGGUUCCCUGUACAUACAAAGGAUACAUCUACCAACACUGCAAUUGCCCAUCAUGGAUUUUUUGGUUUGUCUGUAGGAAGAACAAGUGUGGCAAAGGACAAAGAAUUCAUCACAGUUUGUUAGAAGAAUUGUGCUUCACCAUCUGAGGACCAAGGCAAUGUAAUUUCUUCAUAUGGCUGCAAUUCAGUUAUCUUCAUGCUGACUUUCAAAACACAAUUCUUUUAAUAAACAGUAACAAGUUCUCCAUUUAAAUGUUUAAACUGAGAGAAAAAUAAGUAAGUCCAGCUUUUAAAAGGAAAGUUCAAUAAAUAGCUAUUUUACAUGGAUAAAGUCAUAGUGGUACAAAUUUAUGAAUGUCACAUCAAGCAUGCACAAAAAUGUUACUAUACACGGAAGUAGUCAGAAAAUAUUGAAAUAGAUAUCUAAAAAGAUAUGAAGAAUUUACAUAUUUACAAAAUCUUGCAAAUUAUUGCCUCAUUUUAACAAGGAAUUAAAAGUAAACGAUACCAGCUAGCUAGCCAACAGGCUAAAUAUGAUCAGCAUUUAAAAAUCUAUUAGACUAGCUGGAAUUCAUUUUUCUCUCAUAUCAUUUUCUGAAUUUUGGUCAAAAGUCUUUAUUAAAUAACUAAAGUGUCCAUUCAACUUGCUGACAACCCAAACCUUAGACAAGCCUCUGUCUACAUUAAGAGCCCAGCAAUGCAUAGAUAAACUGAAUAUAUUACUGCAUCAGCUAAUGAGAAUGGGCAUGUUCAUUUAAGUGCAACUGGUAUAAGCAUUCAGUCAUCUUUGUAUAAUGAUUUCUGUACAGACCAGCCACUCACUGUAAACCCAUAGAUAAACUUGAAUGUAUAACAAUGGAAGAUCAUGGCCAGUAUUUUACAAAAUUACAUAAAACGUGCUGAUUCAUAAAGAAAAGAAACCAGGUACAAAGUUCAGCACAAAACGCAGCAAGAAGCUGACAACUUGGCUAAAAAUGUCAAGAGUACAACACAGGGCCAAGGCUACCCGUUAUUUACUGUGUACUUACUAAAGUUACAUAUUUCAGAUGUGUAAGUUAAGAACUGAUUACAAAAUCAUCUCUACUUUUGUCCACUGUGCUAAACUAAUUUGUUUUUAAUAUGGUAAAUGUGCUAUUGCAUGAACACUUAAAAGCAAUCUUCAUUACAAUGCUGUAAAGAGAACUCCACAUGCUGCAUCCCAAACUCAGGAUGUCAAUGCAGUUCACAGUAUGCAUAAUAAAUACCCUCUUCCCUUUCAAAUAUUUAAGUCAUUACUUUCUAAUUACUCAGCAUAACCUUGAAGCAACCAUUACAAAUAUCAACAAUACAAACUUAAUCACUUGAAUAAUGAAAACAAAGCAGUGGCAAUUAAAUCUGUAAUACAAACAGUGCAAAGAAAAAGUAUGGAGGGAAAGGGGUCAUUCUACUGAAGUGAGGUUCAGAUUCUCAUUGAAAAACCCUGUAAGUUGUGUGCUACAACGACAUGUUGCAAUCCAGUCCUAUGGUUUGACUUCCCUGCAGGAAUUAGAACAAAUGUUAGCCAGACAAGCUUCCUGGAUGGCUAAAUUGCACUCAAUGUUUAAAAUAAAAAAUUUAUGGAAGUUAAGUAGCUGCUGAGAAACAUAUUUACUUAUCGUUUCCUAUUUGACCAAUGGAGCGAAGUGCCAUUUUUAAGCCAAUGACUUGCCUAAACAAAUAAAUGCAACCCAUACUAAAGAAAAACUUUAAAAUACAUACUUCAAGGUUCUACUGUUCCUAUCUAAACUACACAGUCCCUCAAAACUGUAACACUUUGAACUGCAGUGCUCCAAACAAUUUAAGAUGUCUUCCAAAUGUAGACUGUUUGUUUAGUGGUAAAUCCCAAGCUGUGCAGACUGUAGCUUUAUACACCACCAGCUGUCUUAGGAAAGUUUAGGUACAUGAUUACAUUACUCUCCAAGGUUGUGGACAAAACCCAUCCAAACACAAUAUAGCCUAAAUCGCAUCUGUUUCAGCCAGUAAUUUUGAAGUACACAGACACCUAUGGCAGCAUUAUUACUUCUGUGUAAGGUAGCCAUGGCCUGUAGUUUUUUGCAACGGCAUCGAAGUGUAGGUCUUCACACUUUACCCACGUUAAGUCCC
ensembl:lncRNA